GGUUCUUCCCCAUGCUUUGCCUUAAAAAGUGUAUUAUUAGGAUGUCACCUUAGUAAACAUUGAGAAAUGGUAAACUUUCUGGCUUCUUUAUUUUCUUUCUUUUUUUUCCCCCCCAAUGAUAUCCAUUGAACUACUCUUGGCGUUUUGUGAAACAGGCAUGCACCAGGGACCACAACAGCAGAACGUUAGAGAAAAAGAUAGUGUCAGAAGUGGUGGGGACUUGGGGAAAAAAAGUGGUGACGGAGUUUUUUUUCUCUCUCUCUCUUUAACAGAUUCAUUUUAUUUUCAUCACGGGGUGCACCCUGUUGGCGAGUUCUCUGGGUCAGACCUCCGAUGGCUCCUAGGUCUCGGGGCUGGGUCUGAAGUUACUCGUUGCUCAGGAAGAGAGUGGAGACGGUUGCAGUCCCCUCACUCAGUGGGUCCGGCUGUGUCCCCUCACUCUGUUCCUCCGCCUGCGUCCCCUCACUCAGUGGGUCCGGCUGUGUCCCCUCACUCUGUUCCUCCGCCUGCGUUCCCUCACUCAGUGGGUCCGGCUGUGUCCCCUCACUCUGUUCCUUCGCCUGCGUCCCCUCACUCAGUGGGUCGGGCUAGGCCCCCUCAAUUCCGGCUGGUUGCCCUCACUCAGUGUUUCCUCUGGCUGCGUCCCCGCACUCAGUGGCUCCCGCCGCAGUUCAUGCUGAGGGAGCUCCUGGUUCAGCGGGCCAAUGGGGCCUGAUGGCGCUGGCCCGCUCCCUUCCUCAGGUGUUCUUACAGUCGAGGUCUUUUUUGGAGCACUUUUCUUCCUGGCUCUCCCUCGACGAGUUGCUUUUCCUUUCUUCGCUAUUUUGGGACACUUCUUAGGGCUUCUGGGCCUUGGCUGAGAGGAGGACUUCGUCUUUCGUGUUCCCUUGGUGCUGGCUGGUGGUCCGGCGGUGGGCAGGCUCUCGGCUUUCCAUCCGUCUUCGACAAGUCAACGUCUCCUAAUGAUAAAGAAUUUGAAUCCCAGAGAUGAUUAAGCGGCUUUUCCAAGGUCACUCAGCCAUUAUGCAGUGAAACUGAGAUUCCAGUUCAGAGUGUCUGACUCCAGAGCCCAUUCAUUAUUUUGCCCAUAUAUAAUGCAAACUUCUAGGUAGGCACAGCCCUCUAUUUUGGAGCACGUAAUUUAUUUCACUGGGAGAACAAAGUAAUAUAGAUCUGCCCUACCAAUGGAGGUAUCUUUUGUGAUGCUACCACUUAGAAGAAGUGGAAAAACAGAAAGUUACAUACCAUCUUCUCCAACUUCUUUAUUCUUCAAAAGGAAGGUGCCUGGCUACUUCAAGAGUUGAGCUAAUCACAGGGAAGAUUCAGUCUCAGUUCAGCUGCCUCAUUUGAUCAACUCAAGACUGAGUCCAACAAAAGUGAGAAGAUAGAAAUUGAGCAAGUUUUCUGCUCUCCUUCAAUACCAACCUCCAAAUAAAGUGACGGUGGAGAGAAAACAAGGAUCUUGUUUCAAAAAUCCUUUAAUUCCAUGUAAUUGAAAACAUGAGUCCAACUGACAUUUUUAAGAAAGAUGAGGACACUGAAGCUUUAGAGAUUGUUUAACUUACCUGAAAUCAGUCAGUAGGUAUAAGAAUAUCUGCCUUCAACUAGCAGUGUGUUUUUCCAUGAUGCUAUUUUCAAGAUGAUUUGCAUCUUCUUUCAACAGGUUCUGGAAUAUUGAAGGUGGGGAAUGUGAAAUAUUGUUUUCCUCUUAGAAGGAAAUGACAGAAAAGAUAUUAUCCUGAAAAAAAAAAUAAGGGAAAAGACAUUUAAACUAGCUGUGGAAAUUUAAAGAAAGGUGCAGAGAGUAAUUUUACUGGGAUGGCUUUUCUCUUAAUGUGCCCUAAAGAAAGUACAGUACCACGUAUUGAGUGAGGUUCACUCCCAGCAGCAGGGUGGGUCCGCAUGAGCCAUGUUUCCACCAUGCACUUGGCAUUCACUGGCCCCUGCAGCACUCCUCCAAUGGAGUUUGCAAAGUUCUCCCUAAUUUGGACCUGCUUCAACCUUUCAGUCAAACAAAAGGAUCACUUUUAGUGGGUGCCCUUGUCAGCUGUUUCUCUAGAACCGGGCCUUUGAUAACACCCAGAAAAAGCACUCAGUAAUUGUGCAACCACCCCUGUUUCAUUUAUAUAACUGAGAUUGAUGAGAAGGGAAGGAAAGUGUUUACAGUGCAGGAAGAUAGGAAUUUUGGGAUUAAGUAGGAAGCAAACUGAAAUGAGCUGUCUGGGGUAAUUAUGAAACACAUACUUCAUAUGUUUUCAUUAGAUAUUACUACCAUACUACAUAAGGCAAAGGAGUUUGAUUAAACUACAGUUCAGUAUAUAAAUGUAUGCAUAAAUUACAGGGAAAGUGGUUAAUUCAUUACAUUUCAAAAACUCUUCAGGGACAUUAAGUGAGUAGAAAUUUAGUCACUAGGUACAUAGCGUAAGAAGAAAACUGUAAUUAGGUGAAGGAUGUGAAGACACAAAACAGACAACAAGUGUGCCACCAAAACAUGGCCAGUAAAACUUGAUGCUCAUGGAUUGAAAACAUAAAAGCCAAGGUAACAAUACAUUGCAAAAUCUAAGAAGCUAUAACAACUUCAUAACUAUUAUUGGAAUCUAUCAUAAUAUCAUUAAAAUAAUCUUCGCGUGAACUAUAUGAGUCUACCAAUUGCCCUUUGUUAUGUAUAUGAUUUGUCCUUUUCUUUAAACUUAUUUUAGGUUUGGGGAUACAAGCGAAGGUUUGUUAUACAGGUCAAAUCCUGUCAUGGGAGUUUGUUGUAUGGAUAAUUUUAUCAUCCAGGUUAAGCCUAGUACCCAAUAGUUAUUAUUCUUAGUAUUUUUUUUUUUUUUUUGAGAUGGAGCCUCACUCUGUUGCC